rnacentral:rRNA from 1 species
GAUGAACGCUAGCUACAGGCUUAACACAUGCAAGUCGAGGGGCAGCAUGACCUAGCAAUAGGUUGAUGGCGACAGGCGCACGGGUGAGUAACACGUAUCCAACCUGCCGAUUAUUCCGAGAUAGCCUUUCGAAAGCAAGUUUAAUACUGGAUAGCAUAACGAGAAGGCAUCUUCUUGUUAUUAAAGAAUUUCGAUAAUCGAUGGGGAUGCGUUCCAUUAGUUUGUUGGCGGGGUAACGGCCCACCAAGACCUCGAUGGAUAGGGGUUCUGAGAGGAAGGUCCCCCACAUUGGAACUGAGACACGGUCCAAACACCUACGGGAGGCAGCAGUGAGGAAGAUUGGUCAAUGGACGAGAGUCUGAACCAGCCAAGUAGCGUGAAGGAUGACUGCCCGAUGGGUUGUAAACUUCUUUUAUAUGGGAAUAAAGUGGGCCACGUGUGGCUGUUUGUAUGUACCAUACGAAUAAGGAUCGGCUAACUCCGUG